GAAAUCAAUAGUCAGAUGCUUAACCGACUGAACCACCAAAGGCACCUCUGUCUGUGUCUAUUCUACUUGCUCUACACCAUCUCUACCUCAUUCAAGGAUGGUAAAGCUUGGGACGCUGGUACAAGACAUGACUCUAGGAAGUGUGAGAGACAGGCUGCUUCUAUGAUGGUGAAAGCCAACAUGCUGGACAACAAGUUGUCGCAGACUGGACACUGGAAAAGCUCAUAACCCAGAAAUGCCAAUGGAAGCAGAAAAACAACAACUAUCUUGUGUAUCUAAAGGACAGGAAAGGAGCAGCCUCAGAAGACAGAAAACUUUCAGACAAUAACUACUCUGCUAUGGGCAAUACCACAGAAACAACUGUGGCCUCACUCUGAUCCACACCAGGAAAUUCCUCCCCUCCAAAUGUUAACAAGCUUCCUUCCCACCAUCCAAGGUAUGAAUGGAGACCACUUGAGAAGCUUGUACUUUCAACUCCACCCACUAGUGAUGAGGCAACCUUUCUCCUGCCUGCGGUUAUGGUGUCAGAGGAGACCAAAGAGAGAGUUAGGACUUUCAGCAUCACCCAACAGUAACCAGGUGACAUCCCUCCCACGGUGCCAGUGGUGGCCACAUGGAGAGCAGCAACAGGGCCCUCUUACCCCUCAGAGCCUGAGGCCUCAGAGGCACCUGGCUACUUCAGGUAUUUCAUACUGUUAAAGCAAAUAUUUUUUUUUUAAGUGCAAAAGAAUUAUAUAAGGGAACUGUCAAGUAUAAUAGGGGUAUUUUUUUCUAUUAUUCAGGGGUUUUCAUCACUUUCUUCAAUUCAGUGAGCUUCCUAUUCAUCUUUCCAAUAAAUCCUUCUUCUAUUAUGGAUGUUAUAAUGCUCUGUAUUUCCUAGAAACACCAAUAGUUUUGUUUUUGUCACGUGAUCAGGGUCCACCAAACGGUCAUUCACACGAGAUAUAAGAGUCAAAAGUAACCAAGUUUUGAACCUUCCUUAA